UACGUAGGGGGCAAGCGUUGUCCGGAAUUAUUGGGCGUAAAGAGCGCGUAGGCGGUCCGAUAAGUCGGCUGUGAAAGUCAAGGGCUCAACCCUUGGAAGCCGGCCGAUACUGUCGGACUAGAGUCCGGAAGAGGCGAGUGGAAUUCCCGGUGUAGCGGUGAAAUGCGCAGAUAUCGGGAGGAACACCAAUUGCGAAGGCAGCUCGCUGGGACGGUACUGACGCUGAGGCACGAAAGCGUGGGGAUCAAACAGG
rnacentral:rRNA from 1 species